AAGUCGUAACAAGGUUUCCGUAGGUGAACCUGCGGAAGGAUCAUUACAGAGGUUUAUCCUUUUCUGUGAACUUAUUAUCUGGCAUUGAAGCUUAGCACGAGCUGAUUUGAUCUCAAUCUCUGAUUGACGCCAAUCAGCAAAGAUGGCGACCACUUCAAUGCCAAACUUUACACCAUAUAUUGUCUGAAGAAAAGAAAUGAAAAACUUUCAACAAUGGAUCUCUUGGCUCUG
rnacentral:misc_RNA from 1 species